rnacentral:rRNA from 1 species
AACGAACGCUGGCGGCAUGCCUAACACAUGCAAGUCGAACGAGACCUUCGGGUCUAGUGGCGCACGGUUGCGUAACGCGUGGGAACCUGCCCUUAGGUUCGGAAUAACUCUCCGAAAGGGGUGCUAAUACCGGAUAAUGUCUUCGGACCAAAGAUUUAUCGCCUUUGGUUGGGCCCGCGUUGGAUUAGCUAGUUGGUAGGGUAACGGCCUACCAAGGCAACGAUGCAUAGCUGGUCUGAGAGGGUGAUCAGCCACACUGGGACUGAGACACGGCCCAGACUCCGACGGGAGGCAGCAGUAGGGAAUCGGCCGCAAUGGGCGAAAGCCUGACGGAGCAACGCCGCGUGAGUGAUGAAGGUCCUCGGAUCGGAAAACUCUGUUAGUAGGGAAGAACAUAUGUGUAAGUAACUGUGCACAUCUUGACGGUACAUAAUCAGAAAGCCACGGCUAACUACGUG